UGGUGAUAACGGGUAACGGAGAAUUAGGGUUCGAUUCCGGAGACGGUGCCUGAGAGAUGGCAACGACUUCCAAGGAAGGCAGCAGGCGCGCAAAUUACCCAAUCCGAAUACCGGGAGGUAGUGACAAUAAAUAACAAUACCGGUCCUAAAAAGGUCUGGUAAUUGGAAUGAGUACAAUUUAAACCCCUUAACAAGGAACAAUUGGAGGACAAGUCUGGUGCCAGCACCCGCGGUAAUUCCAGCUCCAAUAGCGUAUAUUAAAGUUGUUGCAGUUAAAAAGCUCGUAGUUGGAUUUUGGGGUGUUUAAUUUCAAAUGAGGAUCGGUCUGCCUCCACGUGAGGUGUGUACUGUCCUCGACACCCUUCCAGCGGGUCUUGGUUCCAUCUGCCCUUAACUGGGUGGGUGGAUACCUCCCGCUCGUUUACUUUGAAAAAAUUAGAGUGUUUAAAGCAGGCGGUCUCCGCCACUGAAUACAUUAGCAUGGGAUAAUGGAAUAGGAUUGUCUUUCCGAUUUCGUUGGUUUCCGGAACGGACGAUAAUGAUUAAUAGAGAUAGUUGGGGACAUUUAUAUUCCAUGGUCAGAGGUGAAAUUCUUGGAUUCAUGGAAGAUAAACAAGUGCGAAAG
rnacentral:rRNA from 1 species